rnacentral:rRNA from 1 species
UACGAAGGGGGCGAGCGUUGUUCGGAGUUACUGGGCGUAAAGGGCGCGUAGGCGGCCCUCUAAGUCAGACGUGAAAUCCCCCGGCUUAACCUGGGAACUGCGUCUGAUACUGGAUGGCUUGAAUUCGGGAGAGGGAUGCAGAAUUCCAGGUGUAGCGGUGAAAUGCGUAGAUAUCUGGAGGAAUACCGGUGGCGAAGGCGGCAUCCUGGACCGAGAUUGACACUGAUGAGCGAAAGCCAGGGGAGCAAACGGG